AGUUCUGAAGAUCGACGACAAGAAUUUUGUCACUCCGAUCGACAACCUAAAACCCAAACAGACUUUUGUUUCGUCCUUAGCCCAAUCCUACGUCACUUUACAGCGCGACGCAAAAUCCAACAGCAGCGUCUUCCUUCCUCAUCUGAUUCCUUUCCGUGCCAACUUCAGCAACAGUUGCAUUUCAGGAUGAGCAAGAGCAAUAUUCUUAAUGGCUA